rnacentral:rRNA from 1 species
AUACGUAGGGGGCAAGCGUUAUCCGGAAUUACUGGGUGUAAAGGGAGCGUAGGCGGUAUGGUAAGCCAGAUGUGAAAGCCCGAAGCUUAACUUCGAGGAUUGCAUUUGGAACUAUCAAACUAGAGUACGGUAGAGGAAAGUGGAAUUCCCAGUGUAGCGGUGAAAUGCGUAGAUAUUGGGAGGAACACCAGUGGCGAAGGCGACUUUCUGGGCCGUAACUGACGCUGAGGCGCGAAAGCGUGGGGAGC